UACGUAGGUGGCAAGCGUUGUCCGGAUUUAUUGGGUUUAAAGGGUGCGUAGGCGGCUUUGUAAGUCAGUGGUGAAAUAUCGCAGCUUAACUGUGAGGGUGCCAAUGAUACUGCGAGGCUUGAGUACAGAUGAGGUAGGCGGAAUUGACGGUGUAGCGGUGAAAUGCUUAGAUAUCGUCAAGAACACCUAUAGCGAAGGCAGCUUACUAGGCUGUAACUGACGCUGAGGCACGAAAGUGUGGGGAUCAAACAGG
rnacentral:rRNA from 1 species